GAGAUGGCUCAGUGGUUAAGAGCACUGAACUGCUUUUCCAGAGUCCUGAGUUCAAUUCCCAGCUCA
rnacentral:tRNA from 1 species